UGGGGAAUAUUGCGCAAUGGGGGGAACCCUGACGCAGCCAUGCCGCGUGAAUGAAGAAGGUCUUAGGGUUGUAAAGUUCUUUCGGUAUUGAGGAAGGUUGAUGUGUUAAUAGCACAUCAAAUUGACGUUAAAUACAGAAGAAGCACCGGCUAACUCCGUGCCAGCAGCCGCGGUAAUACGGAGGGUGCGAGCGUUAAUCGGAAUAACUGGGCGUAAAGGGCACGCAGGCGGUUAUUUAAGUGAGGUGUGAAAGCCCCGGGCUUAACCUGGGAAUUGCAUUUCAGACUGGGUAACUAGAGUACUUUAGGGAGGGGUAGAAUUCCACGUGUAGCGGUGAAAUGCGUAGAGAUGUGGAGGAAUACCGAAGGCGAAGGCAGCCCCUUGGGAAUGUACUGACGCUCAUGUGCGAAAGCGUGGGGAGCAAACAGGAUUAGAUACCCUGGUAGUCCACGCUGUAAACGUUGUCGAUUUGGGGGUUGGGGUUUAACUCUGGCGCCCGUAGCUAACGUGAUAAAUCGACCGCCUGGGGAGUACGGCCGCAAGGUUA
rnacentral:rRNA from 1 species